GGGAUACAGUUAAGAUGUGGUGGCAAGAGAACUGAAUGUCUCAGAAAAUGUUAUAAAAAUUAAAUUUCAACCAGGGAGCUGUUGUCAGAAAUUUGGUAUUUUAUUUUACCACCAAUCCUAAAAAAAUUGGUUUGCCACUUAUAUUUCCUAAAAAAAAAAAAAAAUAAAUAGAUAGAUAAGCAAACAGCAACAACAACCAACUGGAUACUUACAUUUUUAAUUACUUCCUUGUUUCAGUACCUCAAUCAUACCUCAGUACAUUUUAAGAGAUUGAAGUACUUAGAAGCUAUAAAACCAUUAUUAUUAUUAUUAUUAUUAUUUUAUUAUUAUUGCUCUUAUGAAUGCUAUGUCUGUCAUGAAAAAGCUAAGUUCAGUGUAUGUGCUAUUAGUUGGAGUUUUCUGUGAUUUUGCCACUGUAGCUCCCACAUGUGUGGAGUACUAGAUCUCAUGGCUUGGUUAUUUUAUACCUCAGGGUUCUUAACCAGGGCACAGGCAACAAGUUUCCAACCACCAGCUGUGAUGCAUUGGUUGUGAUGGUGCUAGAUGUGUAGCUCCUACACAGUCUGGUGGUCAUGGAUGUCAUGUGUUGUGGUUUCCUCCUUUGUCCACGCCAGGAAAGCCUGCUCUCCUGCCAUGUGACUCCUCUGUUAUGUAACUCUAAACCACAACUGUGAGGAUGAGCAAACACUGACAAGGCUCUAUGGUUUGCAGACAGAUUCAACUAUGUCCUUCAAGGGAGUCUUCAUUUAGGUUUGGGGCCUCCAUACUGAUCUCUUGGUACUGUCUCUCCCCAUCUCUAAAAGAAGUCCAUGAUGUCAGCUACAUUACAGACUUGUGUUUUUUUUGUUGUUUUUUUUUUGUUUGUUUGUUUUUUGUUCAGACCCCAGAUUUCACAUUCAUUUUCUGGAUAUGUCAUUUCUAGCACCUGUGUGAGGGAGGGAAGUAUCCCUGCUUCUGCCGAGAAGGGGAGGGGAAGUGUGAAUGGAAAGAUGGCUUCCAGCAAAUGUUCCCAAGAAAAACAGACUCUGAAGUCCUUGGGAGUGCUUAUUCAUUUGGGAACUAUGACUUGUCAGCAUUUGCUUUGCUUUCAAUACCACAGAUUUGCAGAAUUGAAUGACAUGCUCUCUUCUGACUAAUGCUGAAGCUCCGGUAUUGCUGCUGACUUUCCUGAGGACAAACAAAUAACGUGAUACUGCAAACACAGGACAAAAAAAUCUGACCUGAAUUGUUGUUCUGCACAUAAUCAUGUAGAAGGCGCUUACCCCUGAAGAGUUUCUAAAAUAUCUACUGCAUUUUAUCUUCUGAAGACUCUGCAGCAAAUGCAAACUCCUUAGUUAAGGAUAUAACUUUCAACUGUACACACCAAAAGAAAACAUCAGGAGAAAUCUAUGUUGGGAAUUGGUAUACAGACGUGGACAUGAGUUCAAUAUGAGCUUGCUUUAAGCAAGCAGGAGCAGGCCUUAGAAAAUCUCGCGGCCUGCUGUAGCUGAGCAAACCAAGCUACCAGAGUAGCCGUGAGAAGAUCCCACGGCAGCGACUCCCACAUCGCCCAAUUAAGGAACUCAGAAGAAUGUUGUUAUCAGCAGCUGGACUCAAGGACAAGGUCUACAUGAUUGCUAAUCACAAGGGGGGUUCUUUUCUUGCAGGUGGGAUUGUUUUCUUAUAGUUGUUUGUCUGAGUGCUUUUGUCCAAUAAUCUUGUGUGAAACACUGUACGCCUCUGUCAAAUUCACUAUAAAAGCUAGGCUAUUCGGGCAAUAAAAUGAAGUUCACUGAUCACUCAUAUUGAGCGUCUGUGUCUUCCCUCCGUCGAUGACAAAUCUAUACCCAGUAUCCAAUGGAUCAAAUCCCUGUAGAGUUGAGAAAUCUUUUUGGUAGCAAUAACAAUCCAGUGAACACCCACCAUCAUUCUCUUCCAAACUAACAUGUAGAAAACUAACAUAUGCUAUGCUGAUCCUUAAUGAGGCAGAUGAUUUAUAUGAGCAUAUGAACACUAGUGAAGUUAGAAAGGGGUUUGAAAGAUCUCAGGUUUCCAUGCUGUGAAAGACGUCAGAGAGUAAAAAAUCUCCUUUCUCCUAAAGCUGUUGCUCCCAUGCUGAAGAGAGAAACUUCUACUGAUACCGUGAGUGGGG
rnacentral:lncRNA from 1 species